CCUACGGGAGGCAGCAGUGGGGAAUCUUGCGCAAUGGGAGAAACCCUGACGCAGCAACGCCGCGUGGGGGAUGAAAGUCUUCGGAUUGUAAACCCCUUUCGGGAGGGAAGAUGGACGGUACCUCCAGAAGCAGCCACGGCCAACUUCGUGCCAGCAGCCGCGGUAUAAU
rnacentral:rRNA from 1 species